rnacentral:rRNA from 1 species
GAUGAACGCUGGCGGCGUGCCUAAUACAUGCAAGUCGAACGAAACUUCUUUAUCACCGAGUGCUUGCACUCACCGAUGAAGAGUUGAGUGGCGAACGGGCGGGUAACACGUGGGCAACCUGCCCAAAAGAGGGGGAUAACACUUGGAAACAGGUGCUAAUACCGCAUAACCAUAGUUACCGCAUGGUAACUAUGUAAAAGGUGGCUAUACUACCGCUUUUGGAUGGGCCCGCGGCGCAUUAGCUAGUUGGUAGGGUAAAGGCUUACCAAGGCAAUGAUGCGUAGCCGAAUUGAGAGGUUGAUCGGCCACAUUGGGACUGAGACACGGCCCAAACUCCUACGGGAGGCAGCAGUAGGGAAUCUUCCACAAUGGGCGAAAGCCUGAUGGAGCAACGCCGCGUGGGUGAAGAAGGUCUUCGGAUCGUAAAACCCUGUUGUUAGAGAAGAAAGUGCGUGAGAGUAACUGUUCACGUUUCGACGGUAUCUAACCAGAAAGCCACGGCUAACUACGUG